UAAACGACUCUCGGCAACGGAUAUCUCGGCUCUCGCAUCGAUGAAGAACGCAGCGAAAUGCGAUACUUGGUGUGAAUUGCAGGAUCCCGCGAACCAUCGAGUCUUUGAACGCAAGUUGCGCCCGAAGCCUUUUGGCCGAGGGCACGUCUGCCUGGGUGUCACCC
rnacentral:rRNA from 1 species